rnacentral:rRNA from 1 species
CAAUAGCGUAUAUUUAAGUUGUUGCAGUUAAAAAGCUCGUAGUUGGAUUUCUGUCAAGGACAACUGGUCCGCCCUCCGGGUGAGCACAUAGUUUGGUCUUGACAUCUUGCUGGAAGCUGUUGCUGCACUUGGCUGUGUGGCGCAGUGUUCAGCACUUUCACUUUGAGGAAAUUGGAGUGUUUCAAGCAGGCACAUGCCUUUGGACACAGUAGCAUGGAAUAAUUAGAUUGGGCUUUUGCUCCAAUUUGUCGGUUUCUGGAGCUGAGGUGAGUAUUAAUGGGGAUUGUUGGGGGCAUCCGAAUUUAGCCGUCAGAGGUGAAAUUCUUGGAUCUGCUAAAGACGGACAACUGCGAAAGCGUUUGCCCAGGAUGUUUUCAUUGA